CACCACCACCACCAUCUAAUAUCACCACUAGGAACAUCAACACCACGAACAAAAUUCAGAUCCGUAUAAUCCACCAACAAAAUUUAGAUCAUCACCAACAAAUUCACCACAUAUACAUACAGAUCCACUCAAUCCAUUUCAGCAACCAACAAAAAAGAAAUCAUAGAUACUCUCAAUUUAAAAAGAAAUCACAAAUUUGAAAAGAAAUCAUAGAUAACGAGCCGGUGAAGACCGAGGUCAGCGGCGAGGGCAUAGUCCAUGGCCAUGGCUCAUGCUGCUGCUCGUAACCGACGCCCAUGGCUGCCACCCGAUCUACCACCGCCGUUGAUCGUAACCGACACCCAUGGCUGCCACCCGAUCUACCAUCGUCGUUGGGCAUAGUCCACGGCCAUGGCUGCUGCUGCUGCUGUUGCUCGGGUGGGCUUUGAUCGGUGGCCAUGGCUGCUGCUGCUCGUUUUGUUGUGGCCAUGACUGCUGCUGCUCCUUUUGAUCUUAGUGGACGGAGGAACGAAUUGGGGGCCAUGGCUGCUGCUCCUUUUUUAAUUAG
rnacentral:lncRNA from 1 species